UCUACAUUAUAAACCCCCUGAGCCCAGAGAUUACACUGACAUCCUGACUACACCAGUGACUGUCACCUUGUAACCACAGGAUUUCCAUGUCCCCAGUAUUUCCAUACACAGUCUCUGGGGUCUCCUGUAACCUCCCCUGUCACUCUCUAUAUAUAUCUCAUUGUACAGACUGACACAUCUUAUACUUUGUAUCUGACUCCACAAACACCAAGAUGGUUUCUGGCCGUUCUCUGCUGGCUGUGAUCUUCAUUUCUAUUCAGGGAUCCUGUGGAGAGAUUGUGCUGACUCAGAGUCCAGAUUAUAUGUCGGUGUCCCCAGGAGAUACAGUCACCAUGUCAUGUAUAUCUAGUGAAUAUACAGGGAAUGCUAUAGCCUGGUACCAGCAGAAACCAGGACAAAAGCCAAAUCUUCUUAUCUAUGGUGCAGCCAGCAGAUAUACAGGAGUCCCAGACCGGUUCACUGGUGUUAGUGAUGGAUCUUCUUACACCAACUACAAGUUAACAAUCAGAGGAGUGACAGGAGAUGAUAUAGCAGAUUAUUACUGUCAGCAGUAUAGGAGUUUCCCUCUCACACAGUGA